GACGAACGCUGGCGGCGUGCCUAAUACAUGCAAGUAGAACGCUGAAGGAGGAGCUUGCUUCUCUGGAUGAGUUGCGAACGGGUGAGUAACGCGUAGGUAACCUGCCUGGUAGCGGGGGAUAACUAUUGGAAACGAUAGCUAAUACCGCAUAAGAGUAGAUGUUGCAUGACAUUUGCUUAAAAGGUGCAAUUGCAUCACUACCAGAUGGACCUGCGUUGUAUUAGCUAGUUGGUGGGGUAACGGCUCACCAAGGCGACGAUACAUAGCCGGCCUGAGAAGGUGAACGGCCACACUGGGAAUGAGGCACGGCCCAGACUCCUACGGGGAGCAGCAGGAGGGAAUCUUCGGCAAUGGACGGAAGUCUUACCGAAGAACGCCGCGUGAGUGGAGAAAGGUUUCGGAUCGGAAAGCUCUGUUGUAAGGGAAAGAAGAGUGUGAGAGUAGAAAGUUCACACUGUGACGGUAUCUUACCAGAAAGGGACGGCUAACUACGUG
rnacentral:rRNA from 1 species